AUUCGGAUUAAUGCAUCGUAAGAUUGUGGGAUGGCAUCAUCCAGCAAUUAAAGAUUUAUUUCGCUUAAAGAUGGGCGUGCGCCUGAUUAGGUAGUUGGUGAGGUAACGGCUCACCAAGCCGACGAUCAGUAACUGGCGUGAGAGCGCGACCAGUCACACGGGCACUGAGACACGGGCCCGACUCCUACGGGAGGCAGCAGUAAGGAAUAUUGGUCAAUGGACGGAAGUCUGAACCAGCCAUGCCGCGUGAAGGAUGAAAGCCCUCUGGGUUGUAAACUUCUUUUAUCUGGGAAGAAACCACCUUUUUCUAAGGGUGUUGACGGUACCAGAGGAAUAAGCACCGGCUAACUCCGUGCCAGCAGCCGCGGUAAUACGGAGGGUGCAAGCGUUAUCCGGAUUCACUGGGUUUAAAGGGUGCGUAGGCGGAUUCUUAAGUCCGUGGUGAAAUCUCCAAGCUUAACUUGGAAACUGCCAUGGAUACUAUUAGUCUUGAAUGUUGUGGAGGUUAGCGGAAUAUGUCAUGUAGCGGUGAAAUGCAUAGAUAUGACAUAGAACACCAAUUGCGAAGGCAGCUGGCUACACAAAUAUUGACGCUGAGGCACGAAAUGCGUGGGGAUCAAACAGGAUUAGAUACCCUGGUAGUCCACGCCCUAAAUCGAUGAUUACUCGACAUUUGCGAUACACAGCAAGUGU
rnacentral:rRNA from 1 species